rnacentral:rRNA from 1 species
UACGAAGGGGGCUAGCGUUGCUCGGAAUUACUGGGCGUAAAGGGCGCGUAGGCGGGUCGUUAAGUUAGAGGUGAAAGCCCAGGGCUCAACCCUGGAAUGCCAGUGGAAACUGUCGAGCUAGAGUCCGGAAGAGGCGAGUGGAAUUCCUGGUGUAGCGGUGAAAUGCGCAGAUAUCAGGAGGAACACCAAUGGCGAAGGCAGCUCGCUGGGACGGUACUGACGCUGAGACGCGAAAGCGUGGGGAGCAAACAGG